GGGGUAAUAGCCGCUAAAUCCAUGAGAAUUUUUAAUUUUCUGGUAUAUAUCAUGACCCCUCAAUUUGACUUCAAAAUACAUCAAUUUAUAAUUGGUUCUGAUUUUUCCCUCGAUUUAGGAAUCCGGCGAAAUCGAAACUGACGUGGACGCCGGAAUGCCAACGUGACAGCCGGAAUAACCACGUCACACACACACACACUCCCCACUCUCUCUCUCACACACCCCACUUUCUCUCUCUCUUACACGUCACCACUCUCUCACAGCUUCACAACUCUCUCUCAUCUCUCGGCUCCGCCGCCCUCCCCCUUGACCGCCACCACAGCUCCGGCCGGUAGCUUCGCCGGCCCAGAGCCUCCGCCUCUGCUCUCUCUCGCUCAUCUCCUCCGCCUCAAACAGAUCGAGCUUGAGCUUCCGCCUCUGCUUCUCUCUCUCGCUUAUCUCCUCUGCACCUCCGUCUCCGCCUCUCUCCCCCCCUACGCCGCCCUCCACAACCUCCAAAUUCAUUCCACAACACCAAAUUCACAAUUCUCUCAAACGGCGACGUCGAACCAGAAUGGGAGGGGGGUCGAGCCCUGUUGUGAACAAGAAUUCAGAGAGAGAUAAGCUCUGGUGCAGGGCGUCGAAUUCUCCGGAAGAGCGGCAUUUCCCGUCGAACUGAUGGGGGGAAAUUAGGGCUCACCCUUUUGCCUCGAUUGUGGGAGAGUGAGGUGCAGAGACGAGGAGGUGAGAUGGGCUGAAGCAGCGGCCGUUUGCCAUUCUUCAGGUUGCAGCGGCGGGAUUUCGUAGGGAGAGGGGUGGCCGG
rnacentral:lncRNA from 1 species